rnacentral:rRNA from 1 species
GUGCCAGCCGCCGCGGUAAUACGUAGGGUGCGAGCGUUAAUCGGAAUUACUGGGCGUAAAGCGUGCGCAGGCGGUUCGACAAGUCCGAUGUGAAAGCCCCGGGCUCAACCUGGGAAUGGCAUUGGAAACUGGCGAGCUAGAGUGUGGCAGAGGGGGGUGGAAUUCCGCGUGUAGCAGUGAAAUGCGUAGAGAUGCGGAGGAACACCGAUGGCGAAGGCAGCCCCCUGGGCUGACACUGACGCUCAGGCACGAAAGCGUGGGGAGCAAACAGGAUUAGAAACCCUUGUAGUCC